rnacentral:lncRNA from 1 species
AAAUAUUUUAUGGUAAAUUUUUUAUUGCCUUAAAUUAGAAAUUUAUUCACAUUCUAUUUUAUCUUAAUAGCAUGAAACCAAUGCAAAUCAGCGUCCUAUUUCAAAACAUAAGUCUCUCUCUUUUUCAAAAUUUAAGUUUCUCUCUCUACCUAAAGAUAAGUAAGUCGCUCUCUUCAAUAAACACGAAGGACACAUUCAUUAGCUUGUCAUUUACACCAUGGUCUAUGAACCACAUGCACACCAUCAUCCCCAUGUCCAUGACCAUAGACAUCAUCGAAAAGUUGCGUUGAUGUUAAUACUGUAAGACAUUAUUUUAUAUUUUAGCUAAACCUCUUAAUGCACAAAAGGCAGCUUGCGUAAUUUUAGGCAAAGCUCAAUAUUCAUUCAUCUAAUCAUUUGUAUGAAAAUAUAUGGAGAGGAAAAGAGAGAUAUACUCUCACAUUUGCUAUGUACGAAAGAGAAAUUUGGUGUUCACUAUUUACUUUUUUAUUUCUAAUAUACCCCUCUAGCAAUUAUACAUAUUGUGACAAGACGACUAUUUAUGUAAAGAAAUUCUUGAUUUGAAAUAUUUCAUGAUGAUCAAUGCUUAUGAAUAUUCCAAGUUCAACAAUAUAUGUAUAUUUGUGAUAAUAUAUUUUUCCUCCCUUAUUUUUUUACAAGAUUAUGCAUUACAAUAUCCUUGGAAAGUGUAAGCCUAUUGGCCAUGUUGUGUAAGGAUAUUUUUUUUGAAUUAAUCAUGUUGUUCGUUAUUUUUAACCUAGUUGCGACUUAUUUUUAUUUAUUUUGCUUACUAUUCUUCUUUAUAUUUAGAAACUAAAUUUGUACCCAUGAGGAUGCGAUGCUAAGCUAUUAUUUUUCAUUGAGAUGUAGUAAUCAUUGACACCUUAUAGUGCUCUGUGUAUAUCCACAUAACAUUAAAAAUCUUUAAUGAUGUAUCGUGUUAGAUUGAAUUAUCGUAUUAUUGAUAGCUAUUCAUUGGAUAGUGGGAGUAAAUCAUCAUUACCAAAUUAGAAUUGAAUUUGUUAUCUCGAUGGUGAUCAAUGCACAUUAAGAAAGUCAUGGAAUUGCUCAUUCAAUGAGCAUUCUCAAUGCCUUGAAGAGGACUCAAACCUCCACCACCUAAAGCUUUGUCAAAUUGUUAUUGUUCUUAUUAUUUUGACCUAUGAUUCGAAUCUGUGCUUUGGACUUAAAGACCAGUGGUGGAUGACAUGUUUGAGAAACAUGCAGAAGCAAUGGGCCUUUUUUUUUCUCUUGGCUAAGAGAUAGAUGUAAAUAAAAUCCAACGUGUUGGUGAAUAAUUGGUAAGGUAUAUGAGAAAUCCCAUGCAGGUAGCAUGAGGCAAUGCCAUAUACAAAACUAUUGAUGCAAGAAAUCCAAAUGUGGUGUAUGACCGUAUUGGCAGGGUAUAUAUGAAAUCCCAUACAAGUAGCAUGAGGCAAUGUCAUAUACAAAGUUGUCGAGGCUAUGAAAUCCAAGUGUGGUGUAUGACUACUUUGGUGGGGUAUAUGUGAAAUAUCAUGCAAGUAGCAUGAGGCAACGCCAUAUACAAAGUUGUUGAGGCGAGAAAAUCCAAGUAUGGUGUAUGUCCACUCUGAUAGGGUAUAUGUGAAAUCUUAUGCAAGUACCGUGAGGCAAUGCUAUAUACAAGGUUGUUGAGGCCAGAAAAUCUAAGUGUGGUAUAAGACCACAUUGGCAUGGUAUAUGUGAAAUCCCAUGCAAAUAGCAUGAGGUAAUACCAUAUACAAGGUUGUUGAAGCCAGGAAAUCCAAGUGUGGUGUAUGAUCACUUUGGCAGGGUAUAUGUGAAAUCCCAUGCAAGUAGCGUGAGGCAAUGCCAUAUACAAAGUUGUUGAGGCCAGAAAAUCUAAGUGUGGCAGAUGACCACAUUGGCAAAGUAUAUGUGAAAUCCUAUGCAAGUAGCUUGAGGCAGUAUCAUAUACAAGGUUGUUGAGGCCAGGAAACCUAAGUGUGGUGUAUGACCACAUUGGCAGGGUAUAUGUGAAAUCCCAAACAAAUUGCAUGGGGCAAUGCCAUAUAUAUGGCUAUGGAGGCCAGAAAAUCUAAGUGUGGUGUUUGACUACACUGGCUGGGUAUAUGAAAAUCCCAUUUGGAAAGCAUGAGGCAAUGCCGUGUAUAAGAAGUGAAACAGCCUUCAGGCCAAGUAGGAGUCGUUGGAAAUGUGGCAUAUCAGGCCCUUUUCUCUCAAAUUUUUUUUUUUUUCCAAUAAUGGUGCAAAAGCCAUAUUGAAGUAUAUGUGAAAUCCCAUGUGGUUAACAUGAGGUCAUGUCAUAUACUUGGAUCUAUUUUUGAGCUUUAAUAGGAUGUUGCACUGGAGGGAAAACCCAGUGUCACUGGAGGGAAAACCCAGUGGCGUGUUUGGAAUUGGAUUCUUUGUAAGAAUUUGUUUUUAUAUUAUAGAUAUACAAAGUUUAUUUAAUUUAUAAUAUCUUUUAUAAAAUUAUGAGAAUGCUUGGAUGACAUCCUAUUACGUGUCUCAUUAGUGGACUAAUGACAGGUUUAGUUCAUUACAUAAGAUUAACAGUUUGGUGACAACUUGUUAAUCCUAAUUAGCUGCACUUAAGGGAAUUAAGGCAGGAGUUACACUUGGAUCUCAACUCUUAUAGACCAUGAAUGUGAGAGUUACAAAAUAAAUUUAUUCUCUAUAAAAGGAGGUUAACCCCUCU